rnacentral:rRNA from 1 species
UGGGGAAUUUUGGACAAUGGGCGGAAGCCUGAUCCAGCCAUGCCGCGUGAGUGAAGAAGGCCUUCGGGUUGUAAAGCUCUUUCGGCGGGGAAGAAAUUGCUUGGGUUAAUACCCUGAGUAGAUGACGGUACCCGAAUAAGAAGCACCGGCUAACUACGUGCCAGCAGCCGCGGUAAUACGUAGGGUGCGAGCGUUAAUCGGAAUUACUGGGCGUAAAGCGUGCGCAGGCGGUUUUGUAAGUCAGAUGUGA